UUAGAUGACUCAAACUCAUGCUCUGCUCCGGGAUUCAGUAUCUUUGAGUUAUGCAGUAUCGAGGUUAAGGAAAAGACCCAGAACAAAGGAUGGCAUUGGCUGAAGUUGCCGAGCAUGAUUGGGUUAUUGGAAAUGAUAGGCCAAUUGGUAAGUACUCGUGUUGGUGCAAACGCAACAGUCAUGUGAUUGAAGACUUUGAGGAGAGCAAUGUGGUUACUUGAUCCACAUUCACUAAGUUAUUUUAAGUUGGAUUUCUCUGAAUGUACACAUGAAAAGCCCAUUAAUCUUAUUUCAUUUUUUUAUAUCGCUUUGACCCUAUUUUGGUAUGUUAUGAUUAUUAUAGAAUUUGGAUAGAAUCAUUGAAAUUAAAGAAAAUAAGGUUCAUUGUUUCUUUUUCUCU